GACGAACGCUGGCGGCGUGCUUAACACAUGCAAGUCGAACGGUGAUGCUCCAGCUUGCUGGAGUGGAUCAGUGGCGAACGGGUGAGUAACACGUGAGCAACCUGCCCCAGACUCUGGAAUAAGCGCUGGAAACGGCGUCUAAUACUGGAUACGAAACUGGCCCGCAUGGGCAUGGUUUGGAAAGUUUUUCGGUUUGGGAUGGGCUCGCGGCCUAUCAGCUUGUUGGUGAGGUAAUGGCUCACCAAGGCGACGACGGGUAGCCGGCCUGAGAGGGCGACCGGCCACACUGGGACUGAGACACGGCCCAGACUCCUACGGGAGGCAGCAGUGGGGAAUAUUGCACAAUAGGCGAAAGCCUGAUGCAGCGACGCCGCGUGGGGGAUGACGGCCUUCGGGUUGUAAACCUCUUUCAGCAGGGAAGAAGCGAAAGUGACGGUACCUGCAGAAGAAGCACCGGCUAACUACGUG
rnacentral:rRNA from 1 species